UGGUGAUGUGGUAUAGUGGACAGAGGGUGGUCUUUAAAGUUUGACCCAAUUUUGUGACUUUAGGCUACCUAACCGCGGUUCCCACUUUGCAAGGUCAUUGUGAGGGCCGGGGAUUGGGGACACAAGCCUCUUGGAACAUGGCGGUACGUAGAACGAAGGUCCAUUUUAUUAGCACUGGGUUGUUUUUUGUUGUUUUUUUUUAAGGGGCAGAAAUGACAUUGACUUGGCCGUUUUUUUACAAAUUUCUACCCCUCAGGCAGUGAGUGACUGCUCAGCCAUUUUAACUUGAUCACUGCCAACCCCGAACCUUCCUUCCUCUUUACCGGCGGGACGGAACACGUGGGAGGGCACGCCCCCUGGUGGCCGGCCGGAGAGUUGCAGUUAAUUUCCGUUUCUCUCAUUCAAACUUUUUUAAGAUGCAAAAUCUCUUCUUAACUUAGAGGCUGAGAAGAGCGUGAGGAGAGGGUUGAAGUCACAGGAGAGGCCCCCUUUAAGGAGUCAGGGAACCAACGGUCCCGGUUUGCCCGGACUAAAAGAUGGUCUGGGACCGACUGGACUUUCAGGGCUAAAAUCCUGCAAGUCCUGGACAAACUGAGACAAGCUGGUCCCCCAACGUUUAUCCCGUUCACUCUGUUGCUAUAUAGAGACCAGACCUCUACAGGGGUUUAAAUAAAAGUCUGGUGGUUUAAACAGGAACAAAGAUUGAGAGAAGUCUGAGGAAUGGCGCAAUUUCCUGAAAGAAAGCAGGUGGAGCCAUGUGCGUUGCCAAGGCCCUACGAGUCUGGCUCUUGGAGACUGGAGUCUGUGAGCUGCUUCUUUCCACUGUGCGUAGCAGGGGAGCUACGGAAGAGCUCCCGGUCACAAAGAAACUCAACAAGAAGCCGGACGUUAACAUCUGUAGGUCAUAUAAGCCAUAGUCAUGAAAGGACAUUGUUUAGAAAGUACUGCAAUAUGCUUUGAGCCAGUUACCUUUCAGCAGCCAAAAGCACAGCAAUAGGAACUCCACUGUGUGUGUGGACUUUAUCAAUAUAUCCAUAUGUACACAUAUAUAAUUUCUUAAUAUAAACACAUUACACUGUGGGUUUGUGUCUCU
rnacentral:lncRNA from 1 species